UGGCGGACGGGUGAGUAACGCGUGGGUAACCUGCCUUACACAGGGGGAUAACACUUAGAAAUAGGUGCUAAUACCGCAUGAGCGCACAGGACCGCAUGGUCGAGUGUGAAAAACUGAGGUGGUGUAAGAUGGACCCGCGUCUGAUUAGCUAGUUGGUGAGGUAACGGCCCACCAAGGCGACGAUCAGUAGCCGGCCUGAGGGGGUGGACGGCCACAUUGGGACUGAGACACGGCCCAAACUCCUACGGAAGGCAGCAG
rnacentral:rRNA from 1 species